GAGCGAGCCAGUAAGCCGCUGUCCCUCAUUGCCACUGCUACAGCUCCUGCCUGCAGGUUCCUGCCCUGGCUUUCCUUCGCCCUGAACUGUGACAUCAUGUAAAUCACCCUCAGGAGAGCAAAUACCAGCUACUCUUCAGGGGAGGCUGGUGGCCACCCCAGGAGGCAGAGGAGACUGAAUCUGCUGCAUCGGACUACCAUGGGUUCACCUGCUACCCAAUAUUCUAAUUUCCCUUCUGUUGCAGUGAUAAAAUAUUUCAAAUAAAAGCAGCUUGGGGAGGAAGGGUUUAUUUAGCUUCCACUUUCGGGGCACAGUCCGCCACUGAGGAAGUCAAGGCAGGGACUCAAGCAGGGACUGACGUGGAGACCGUGGAGGAACACUGCUUACAGGGUGGCUCCCUGGCUCACCUACGGGGUUUCUCUGUGUAGCUCUGGCUGUUCUGGAACUUGGUUCUGUUCUAAAACUGGCGUCGAACGAGAUCCACCUGCCUCUGGCACCACCACUGCCCCACCUACAGUUCCUAGAGCAGUGGUUCUCAACCUUCCCAAGGCUGUGACCCUUUAACACUUUUCCUCGUGUGGUGGUGACCCCAACAAUAAACUUAAUUUCUUUGCUACUUCA